rnacentral:rRNA from 1 species
UACGAAGGGGGCUAGCGUUGCUCGGAAUCACUGGGCGUAAAGAGCUCGUAGGCGGUCUGUUGCGUCUGCUGUGAAAACCCGGGGCUUAACCCCUGGCUUGCAGUGGAUACGGACAGACUAGAGGUAGGUAGGGGAGAAUGGAAUUCCCGGUGUAGCGGUGAAAUGCGCAGAUAUCGGGAGGAACACCGGUGGCGAAGGCGGUUCUCUGGGCCUUACCUGACGCUGAGGAGCGAAAGCGUGGGGAGCAAACAGG